AAUUGCUCGUUUGAUUAGGUACAAGCUUGCAACAGAAUCUGAUGCAAUAGUGAGCUUCUUAGUUGCAAAUUCUUUACCUUCGCCACCAAAUUCUGCGAGGGCAGCACGAAUUGCUGCCAGUUCAGCUCUCGUAAUAGUGUUUGUGCACCCAGCGCCAUUUGGAUUCACGUAGACAACGCGAGAAUCGCUGAACCAGGCGCAGGCGCCGGCAACCUGGACUUCUUUGCCAUUGUCAGUUUUGAUUUUGCUUACCGAACCAUCUGUCCAGACAGUGCCAUUCACGUCGUGGGCCAGAGCAUGGUGGGUCUGGAAUCGCGCGUUAGGAAAGCGUCGUGCUUCGUCAGCCAUGGCGUGUAUCGUCUUUGGGUUAGCGUGCUGGUAUUUGGCUUGCUUUAGAAGUGAGUUUGGGAGGGCCGGGCAGGUUGGGGCCGUGGCCGUGUGUGUCCACGUGCGCGGGUCGCUGAUGUGCGUGGGUGCGUUCGCCCCCCGUUUCAGUGUGUCCACGAGCCGUUUCAGGCGGGGGGCAAAGCACUGGAGUCCGGCGGGGUUCCCAACAAUGACCAGUCGGAGCCCCUUCUGGCGUUCAGCCUGGGUGUUGGUGCCAAGUCCUGUGUCAAGGCCCGCGGUGCCCGCGGACCAGUUGGCCAGCUCGUGGCAAAGUGGGUGUUGAAGCCACUGCGUGUGGGGGAAAGUGGCCGCUUUGGGGAGCGCCAAUACAGUGAGGGUUGGUUCCUGUGAGUCACGCAUAGCCUCGGCGCAUGCGAGGGCCCACAUGAGCGCCUUCCGUGCAUCGUGGGGGGUAGAGGGGGGGUGGGCAUAUUGCAAGCCGGUCCAUGCGGUCUGGUAGGCAUCGUGCAGUGCGCCAAAGGCCCCAUCAGCAGGGUCUCGUGUCCAGUAUUCGUGGGCUGCAGUGGAGGAGUUUAGUGGGGACGCAAACAUUUCCCGAAUGUGUACUGCUUGUGUGACCCGCAGGCGGCACCACUGGUGCUGCACGCGUGCCGGCGCUGACUGCGGUGAAGACCGCUUGAGCCUGCGCAGCUGAAACUGAUCGCCACACCCCUGCCCUACCGCGUGUGUGGGUUCAGCAGCUGUCAGCCGACCCCUCUUCGUGUCGGUGCUGCCGGGCUGCCUGAUGGUAUGUUGAAGAACUAGCGCCUGCAUUCGCCCAUGGGAACCAGGGGUGGAACCCCUGAUGGGAACCUGAUGUGCCGGAGGUGCAGGCAGAGCAGCCAGGCCUGCAGGAGCAAGGCCACGCACACACAGUGGUUUGCGGAGGGAAGGGCAAGUCUUAUCAUCGUUGUUAUCGCUACCAGGCGUGAUUCUGUGCGGCCGCGGGCCCAACCCACGCCUCUUUUCACCGGUCGGGUGCAGCCGAUCAGAGAUUGCUUCCCAAAAACAAGAGUAAAACCUUGCCCGAAAACGGAAUCCGGUUCCUGACGUGUAUAACCACGGCCCAUGCUACAUAACCAGCAAAUCGCGUACCCCUCUGAGCCACGGCAUCGCAUGCCAAUGCAUGCAUGCCAGGGCGACUAGGGUCGAUGCCUUUCAGCAUCCUUUCAAGCCCACACUAGACAUUUAGGUACAAGAUCCCCAAAACAUGCGGGCACACAGCUGAAACCACAUAUACAUGUUGGCAACACCGGUUGAUGUCGCCGGAAAGCCCUGCGACCAGCCGAUCAGAGACUGCGACCCGCGCACCCUGUUAAAUGCUGUUCCGCCGAAUGAUAUAUGAUAGCUAUAGCACCUGACACGGCCCCAGCGUUUGAAAACUGUAAAAGCUAGCAGGGCUCCAGCGCGCGACCUCCCCGAAGUCGGGGGGCUUCGCGCCGCGAGGCGUGCCGCUACCAAAAUGCGCCGCGCGACUGCCCCUGGCGACUGCUCUUUGGCUGCCCCCCGAUACUUCCGCAUGAUAUGCGCAUAGGCAGCCCUGUGGUGCGGUCGCCGCUACGGAAAUCUGCCCAGCCAGCCAGCCGAAGCCAUUUGUGGACGCACGCUUACCGUGAGCAGCGCGACCAGCAGGCUCCAAGGGGCCGCGCUGUCACUAUAGGCUUCCACAGAUGAUACUUACGUCAAAGCACCGCAGUUAUGCUACAAUAACACCCGUCCGGGUCCGCAAUGGUAAAAUAAUAGGGGCCGUGCCUCGACGACCUAGACUGAACAAGUAUAUGUACACAUUUGUCCAUCCUAUCUAAAUAAGAAGUCGGAGGCGCGAGCUGGGGGGUCCGAACACGGUUUGGGCCUCCCAUGCAGCCCCAUGCAGCCCGUGCCGGCCGAGUUGCAUACCCCUCUCCCCUGGCACGGAGUUUUCCCCUGUACCGAAUUUGGGGAGGAUCGAACUCGGGUCUGAACCGACGUUACACACCAUCUUAUCGCUAAGCAACCUCUGCCGUGGUCGAUUGUGUCCAAAUGUAAAGUCACGGUCGUUAAAUCUUUCAACAAGGCUCCGCUUCCUACGCCGACGAAGCACGCAAAUGGGCUCCGGCAUCUAUGUUCGGGGUGGUGCUGUAAGGAGGUUUGUCGGUGGGAUCAGGGAGCUCGGGACAGAAGAAAUGGGGGGAGAGAGGCCCAUAGCGACUUGGACGGGCACAUGGAGCCCUCCUUGGCGUCGGGGGUUGCAGUACGGGGCGUUCGUUUGGGGGUUCUGGG
rnacentral:lncRNA from 1 species